rnacentral:rRNA from 1 species
GCGACCACGAAUGGCGUCGACCUCAAGAUUGUGCCGCCGGCCGGCUUCCUCCUCCACCGCCGCGCCGCCGUCCCCAGCGCCCCUAUUCUCCGGGGGAGGAGCGCGAGCGGGCGGUGCGGCCUCGCCAUCUUGGUUUCGUCCUCCAAUGGUGCAGCUGGGCUCUCCCCACUGAGUGACUCGGAGAAGAAAGGCCCUGUGGUGAUGGAGAUCCCGCUGGAAAAUAUCCGGACGCGUGCCAAUGAUCCUGAUGAGGUGCAGAAGCUCAUGGACAGCAUCCGUGUCAUCGGCCUCCAAGUACCAGUGGGCAUCUUUUCCUUUAACAUUAAUUUUUACCAAAAUUAUUUUCUUUUAGUUCAUAAGUUAAAUUAUGUCAGAACUGGAAUUUUCUUAUGUGGAAUUAAGUACAUACAAAUAAAGUUAUAUACAGAGCUAAUACAUGGCCGAACACUACUACUGAAUUCAGUGAUCUCCAUACAGUUGUCUAGAGGAUGUUUGUGCUAUGGUUGA